rnacentral:rRNA from 1 species
UAUUUUGACUAUACAAAGGUAUUGAAAUAAGAUUUUAAUUGAAUGCUAAGAGAAUGGAAGUCCAGAAAAAAACUUUUUUUAAAUUAAAAAUUGAAAUUUUUUUAAUUUGUGCAGAAACAAUUAUUUAUAUUAAAGACAAGAAGACCCUAUGAAUUUAUAAAAUUUUAUUUAAUAUGUAAUUACUAUUAGAAAAAUUUUGGCUGGGGCGGCUAGAAAAUAUUAUGAACUUUUUUAAAAUAAAAUGAUCCAUUAUUAAUGAUUUUAUGUUAAAUACUCUAGGGAUAACAGCGUUAUAUUUUUUGAUAGAUCAUAUUGACAAAAAAGUUUGCGACCUCGAUGUUGGAUUAGGAUACUUUUUUAAUGCAGAUAUUAAAAAAAGAAGUUUGUUCAACUUUUAAUUUCCU